GACGAACGCUGGCGGCGUGCUUAACACAUGCAAGUCGAACGGAAAGGCCCUGCUUUUGUGGGGUGCUCGAGUGGCGAACAGGUGAGUAACACGUGAGUAACCUGCCCUUGACUUUGGGAUAACUUCAGGAAACUGGGGCUAAUACCGGAUAGGAGCUCCUGCUGCAUGGUGGGGGUUGGAAAGUUUCGGCGGUUGGGGAUGGACUCGCGGCUUAUCAGCUUGUUGGUGGGGUAGUGGCUUACCAAGGCUUUGACGGGUAGCCGGCCUGAGAGGGUGACCGGCCACAUUGGGACUGAGAUACGGCCCAGACUCCUACGGGAGGCAGCAGUGGGGAAUAUUGCACAAUGGGCGGAAGCCUGAUGCAGCAACGCCGCGUGCGGGAUGACGGCCUUCGGGUUGUAAACCGCUUUCGCCUGUGUCGAAGCGUGAGUGACGGUAAUGGGUAAAGAAGCACCGGCUAACUACGUG
rnacentral:rRNA from 1 species